rnacentral:rRNA from 1 species
CCGUAGCCCAAGAGAUCGGGAUAACACCUGGAAACAGAUGCUAAUACCGGAUAACAACAGAUGAUGCCUAUCAACUGUUUAAAAGAUGGUUCUGCUAUCACUCUUGGAUGGACCUGCGGUGCAUUAGCUAGUUGGUAGGGUAACGGCCUACCAAGGCGAUGAUGCAUAGCCAGUUGAGAGACUGAUCGGCCACAUUGGGACUGAGACACGGCCCAAACUCCUACGGGAGGCAGCAGCC